CAAGGAAUCUUCCGCAAUGGGGGCAACCCUGACGGAGCAACGCCGCGUGGGGGAUGAGGCCCUUCGGGGUGUAAACCCCUUUUCUUCGGGAUGAAGCACUGACAGUACCGGAGGAAGAAGGACCGGCUAACUACGUGCCAGCAGCCGCGGUAAUACGUAGGGUCCGAGCGUUGUCCGGAGUUACUGGGCGUAAAGGGCGCGCAGGUGGCGGUGCUGGCCCGGCGUGAAAGCCCCCGGCUCAACCGGGGAGGGUCGUCGGGGACCGCACCGCUUGAGGGCGGUAGGGGCUGGUGGAAUGCCUGGUGUAGUGGUGAAAUGCGUAGAGAUCAGGCGGAACACCCGUAGCGAAGGCGGCCAGCUGGGCCGACCCUGACACUGAGGCGCGAAGGCGUGGGGAGCG
rnacentral:rRNA from 1 species